AUCACUUGGGGAUCUUGUUAAAAUGUAGAUUCUGACUCAAUAAUCCAGGAUGGGCCUCCAGAGUCUGCAUUUCUAAUAAGCUCCCAGGUGAUGCUGA
rnacentral:pre_miRNA from 1 species